AGUGAACGCUGGCGGUAGGCCUAACACAUGCAAGUCGAACGGCAGCACAGUAAGAGCUUGCUCUUACGGGUGGCGAGUGGCGGACGGGUGAGGAAUACAUCGGAAUCUACUUUUUCGUGGGGGAUAACGUAGGGAAACUUACGCUAAUACCGCAUACGACCUACGGGUGAAAGCAGGGGAUCUUCGGACCUUGCGCGUUUGAAUGAGCCGAUGUCGGAUUAGCUAGUUGGCGGGGUAAAGGCCCACCAAGGCGACGAUCCGUAGCUGGUCUGAGAGGAUGAUCGGCCACACUGGAACGUAGACAGGGUCCAGACUCCUACGGGAGGCAGCAGUGGGGAAUGUUGGACAAAGGGCGGAAGCCUGAUACAGCCAUACCGCGUGGGUGAAGAAGGCCUUCGGGUUGUAAAGCCCUUUUGUUGGGAAAGAAAAGCAGCAGGUUAAUACCCCGCUGUUCUGACGGUACCUAAAGAAUAAGCACCGGCUAACUUCGUG
rnacentral:rRNA from 1 species